GAAUGAUAAUGACAAGUUGUGCCUGAUCUGUCAUGAAGAACUGCGUACAAGUGGAGGAGUUCAAGAGUUCCACUGUACACACCGCUUCCACAAAGAGGCGGCUCGGAGGUUAGAGCAGUUUCGACCCCAAAGCAGCAGCAGCAGCAGCAGCAACGAGGCGGCAUCUCUCCCAGUGAGGAGGCCGUCUGAUGAGAGGAGGAAGUCUGCAGAUGAACCGAUUUUCAAGGAAAAAGAGCAGUACACAUUUCGUCGCCAACUGUCCCUGCGGAGGCAUCGCUGAUAUCACUCUGAGGAGAGAUAGAGGGUUUGCAGCCUCUGGCCAAACAUCAGUGCAUGGAGCAGUGGCUAUGGAAGAAACAGACGUGUCCCACAUGUCGUGUCCACGUGUCCAUGUCAAAGCCCCUCUACUGGUCUUCAUCACGCACUACAGUCCCAUAAUGGUCCUGCAUGUCCAUGUGACCUACUGACCCCAAAAUCUCCACAA